UCUUGUUGUCCAGGUUCGCGGGGCACAGAUUUCGGUUACGGUGUUGUCGGUUGUGUUUUUGUGCUUUGCGCGCGAAAUUCAACAUUGCAAUGGAUGGAGCGUCCGAUAAGGACAUUGAUGAAGCACGACAGAUGUUGGGCGCAGCGUUGAUAGGACGACGAAAGAGCAAUCCCACAGCAAAGAGCAGAACUUUGACCGAGGAAGAGAUCAAAGGUAGGUUUGGU